rnacentral:rRNA from 1 species
CUACCGGGGUAUCUAAUCCUGUUUGCUCCCCACGCUUUCGCACCUGAGCGUCAGUAUUGUGCCAGGGGGCCGCCUUCGCCACUGGUAUUCCUCCAAAUCUCUACGCAUUUCACCGCUACACUUGGAAUUCUACCCCCCUCUCACAUACUCUAGUUGGCCAGUUUCAAAUGCAAUUCCCAGGUUGAGCCCGGGGCUUUCACAUCUGACUUAACCAACCGCCUGCGUGCGCUUUACGCCCAGUAAUUCCGAUUAACGCUUGCACCCUCUGUAUUACCGCGGCUGCUGGCAC